UCUUUUUUUAAAAGCACAUCUGUUACAGUAAAUAUGAGGUGGGCUUAAGAAUCUGCAUUCUGUGUUUUUGAAGAAAUUUGGGGCCAGCUUACUCCCUACAGGCUCAAGAUCAACUGUACCAUAUAG
rnacentral:snoRNA from 1 species